rnacentral:rRNA from 1 species
CCUACGGGAGGCAGCAGUGAGGAAUAUUGGUCAAUGGAGGAAACCCUGAAGCAGCAACGCCGCGUGGAGGAUGAAGGUUUUCGGAUUGUAAACUCCUUUUGUUAGAGAAGAUAAUGACGGUAUCUAACGAAUAAGCACCGGCUAACUCCGUGCCAGCAGCCGCGGUAAUACGGAGGGUGCAAGCGUUAUUCGGAAUCACUGGGCGUAAAGAGCGCGUAGGUGGGAUAGCAAGUCAGAUGUGAAAUCCUAAGGCUUAACCCUAGAACUGCCUUUGAAACUGGUAUUCUAGAGUAUGGGAGAGGUAGGUGGAAUUCUUGGUGUAGAGGUAAAAUCCGUAGAGAUCAAGAGGAAUACUCGUUGCGAAGGCGACCUGCUAGAACCUAACUGACGCUGAUGCGCGAAAGCGUGGGGAGCAAACAGGAUUAGAUACCCUUGUAGUC